UACGUAGGGGGCAAGCGUUGUCCGGAUUCAUUGGGCGUAAAGAGCGUGUAGGCGGCCAGACAGGUCCGUUGUGAAAACUCGAGGCUCAACCUCGAGACGUCGAUGGAAACCGUCUGGCUAGAGUCCGGAAGAGGAGUGUGGAAUUCCUGGUGUAGCGGUGAAAUGCGCAGAUAUCAGGAAGAACACCUAUGGCGAAGGCAGCACUCUGGGACGGUACUGACGCUGAGACGCGAAAGCGUGGGGAGCGAACAGG
rnacentral:rRNA from 1 species